GGCGGGUUGCCCGAGUGGCCAAAGGGAGCAGACUGUAAAUCUGCCGGUGUACGCCUACGUUGGUUCGAACCCAACACCCGCCA
rnacentral:tRNA from 1 species